CGCCGCGUGAGUGAAGAAGGUUUUCGGAUCGUAAAGCUCUGUUGUUGGUGAAGAAGGACAAGGAAAGUAACUGAUCUUUGUUUGACGGUAAUCAACCAGAAAGUCACGGCUAACUACGUGCCAGCAGCCGCGGUAAUACGUAGGUGGCAAGCGUUGUCCGGAUUUAUUGGGCGUAAAGCGAACGCAGGCGGGAAGAUAAGUCAGCUGUGAAAGCCCCCAGCUUAACUGGGGAACUGCAGCUGAAACUAUGUUUCUUGAGUGCAGAAGAGGAGAGUGGAACUCCAUGUGUAGCG
rnacentral:rRNA from 1 species